rnacentral:misc_RNA from 1 species
AUGAAGAACGUAGCGAAAUGCGAUAAGUAAUGUGAAUUGCAGAAUUCAGUGAAUCAUCGAAUCUUUGAACGCACAUUGCGCCCGCCAGUAUUCUGGCGGGCAUGCCUGUUCGAGCGUCAUUACAACCCUCAGGCCCCCGGGCCUGGCGUUGGGGAUCGGCGAGGCGCCCCCCGCGGGCACGCGCCGUCCCCCAAAUACAGUGGCGGUCCCGCCGCAGCUUCCAUUGCGUAGUAGCUAACACCUCGCAACUGGAGAGCGGCGCGGCCAUGCCGUAAAACACCCAACUUCUGAAUGUUGACCUCGAAUCAGGUAGGAAUACCCGCUGAACUUAAGCAUAUCAAUAAGCGGAGGA